UUAGUCGUCACUUUGACGGCUUCACAUCGCUGACUUAGUCGGAUAAUUAUUCUGAUCACAGCUCGCCAAAAUGAAUAAGAUCCUUUUCUUGGUGUUGUGUUCGUGCGUGCUGGUUUUUAUCAGCGCCCAGUACGGAGAUCCCUAUUCAUAUGGGGGUUACCCGAAUUACGGCGGUAACUACUACUCCCCGUACGGCGGUAACUACGCAGGCGGGCAGGGCUAUGGUCAGGGCUAUGGUCUUGCCGCUGCAUACGGAUAUGGUCAAAACAAUAAUAAUAAUAAUGUCUUAGUAUACGGAUUGCUCUUCCUUGCCGCGCUCUGGGCUCUCAAUAUUUCUGGAAUACGUGGAUAAACGAGUUUGUCAAGUUACACCAAGUCAAUGUUUUUUCAGGAACAGGAGAGGAGUUCUAUCGAAGGAUAGCACAGUGUUAUGUUUUCAAUAAAAGUUUGUUAUUGAGUUAAUAAAAGUUAUUUCAAUUCAAA